rnacentral:rRNA from 1 species
CCUACGGGAGGCAGCAGUGGGGAAUCUUUCACANUGGACGCAAGUCUGAUGAAGCAACGCCGCGUGAGUGAGGAAGGCCUUUUAGGUUGUAAAGCUCUGUUGCCGGGGAAGAAGGUUAGUGUAAGGAAAUGUGCAUUAAUUGACGGUACCCGGUGAGGAAGCACUGGCUAACUACGUGCCAGCAGCCGCGGUAACACGUAGAGUGCAAGCGUUGUCCGGAAUCAUUGGGCGUAAAGGGUACGCAGGCGGAUAUACAAGUCAAAUGUGAAAGGUGUAGGCUUAACCUACAGACUGCGUUUGAAACUGUAUAUCUUGAGAGCAGCAGAGGAAGGCGGAAUUCCUGGUGUAGUGGUGAAAUACGUAGAUAUCAGGAAGAACACCAGUGGCGAAGGCGGUCUUCUGGGCUGCAUCUGACGCUCAUGUACGAAAGCUGGGGUAGCGAACGGGAUUAGAUACCCCGGUAGUCCCAGCUGUAAACGAUGGACACUAGGUGUUGGCGG